GUAGCAUCAUCCUUUAGAAAAAAAGGAACAACUUAAGUAUGUAAAUAGUAUCAAAUAUUUUCACCUUGAGUAAACAAGGUUGAAAUAUUAUUUAAUUUAGUCAAGUGUGCAACAACUUUUCAGAUUCAUAACCAUGAAAGGAUCAUAUUCUACUAAAAUAAUAUGGUUUUAUAAUUAGAAACGGAAGGAAUAGUAUAUCAGACAUGAACGCAGAAGGUUUACAUGUCCAUAUAAUCGCACUUGUACGCAUAAACCGUUGGAUGCUAGAUGUUCUUUUCUUCCUCGAAGCGAGCUGCACAUCCAUAAUUUAGAUAUGGAAUGCACAUGCAUAUAGUCCACACGGUAACACAAGCAGUUCACCAUCAUACACCGUACAAAGCUAGUCCAACUCUAAAUAACUUCGGUUCCCCGCCGACGGUGAUCAAUCACGCGGCGAUCUUUGAACACCGCGCUUUGGCCGGCGCGAGCCACUUCUCCCCGUGCUCCGAGGGGUCGUUGCUCCCGCCGACGCACCGUUUCCCCUUCUCAGCACCAGCGUGCGUAGAGGAGCCAGUGGUCUCCCCGGCGUAGCGGCCGGCGGUUACAUUGUUGCGGUGGUGAGGCGCCAUGGCCGCGGCCGCCUCCUUCUCCUCCNNNN
rnacentral:lncRNA from 1 species